rnacentral:rRNA from 2 species
UGUUUCGGCUAGGGGGUCAUCCCGACUUACCAACCCGAUGCAAACUACGAAUACCGAAGAAUGUUAUCACGGGAGACACACGGCGGGUGCUAACGUCCGUCGUGAAGAGGGAAACAACCCAGACCGCCAGCUAAGGUCCCAAAGUCAUGGUUAAGUGGGAAACGAUGUGGGAAGGCCCAGACAGCCAGGAUGUUGGCUUAGAAGCAGCCAUCAUUUAAAGAAAGCGUAAUAGCUCACUGGUCGAGUCGGCCUGCGCGGAAGAUGUAACGGGGCUAAACCAUGCACCGAAGCUGCGGCAGCGACACUAUGUGUUGUUGGGUAGGGGAGCGUUCUGUAAGCCGUUGAAGGUGGCCUGUGAGGGUUGCUGGAGGUAUCAGAAGUGCGAAUGCUGACAUAAGUAACGAUAAUGCGGGUGAAAAACCCGCACGCCGGAAGACCAAGGGUUCCUGUCCAACGUUAAUCGGGGCAGGGUGAGUCGACCCCUAAGGCGAGGCCGAAAGGCGUAGUCGAUGGGAAACAGGUUAAUAUUCCUGUACUCGGUGUUACUGCGAAGGGGGGACGGAGAAGGCUAUGUUGGCCGGGCGACGGUUGUCCCGGUUUAAGCAUGUAGGCGGAUGUU